UUGUUAGUGGCAGACGGGUGAGUAAUGCGUAGGAAUCUACCUAGUAGUACGGAAUAGCCAUUAGAAAUGGUGGGUAAUACUGUAUAAUCCCCGAGGGGGAAAGAUUUAUCGCUAUUAGAUGAGCCUACGUUAGAUUAGCUAGUUGGUGAGGUAAUGGCUUACCAAGGCUAUGAUCUAUAGCUGGUCUGAGAGGACGAUCAGCCACACUGGAACUGAGAUACGGUCCAGACUCCUACGGGAGGCAGCAGUGGGGAAUAUUGGACAAUGGGCGAAAGCCUGAUCCAGCUAUGCCGCGUGAGUGAAGAAGGCCUUCGGGUUGUAAAACUCUU
rnacentral:rRNA from 1 species